CUCAACCAGGAGUGACUCUGCGCCCCAGAAGAUAUCUGGCAAAGUCUCAGAGAAAGUUUGGUUGCCACUACUGGGGCAGGUACCAGCAACAUCGAGUGGGUACAGGUCAGGGAUGCUGCUGAGUGAGCAUUUUACAGUGUUCAGGACAGCUUCCCCAGACAAGGAGUUAUCCAGUCCAAAAUGUCAGUAGUGCUUGAAAAACCUCUUCUAGACCAUUAUCCCACUUGUUUUCUAAAAAUGAUCAUUCGCCCUCAUUUCUUGAUUAUAGUGUCAAGCUAAGCUCGCUGUCACCCCAGUACAGUUCCUCAUCAAUCUCAGGGUAAUUCAGUAGCCACAUAGACCUUGGGGUUGUGAGGCCAUUUCCACUUAGCCUACCUGAGCCUUAUAAUCAUUCCUUGAUUCCACCCGCACCCUCUGCGUAGUCUCAAUUUCAGACGUUCUCCCACGACCUCCCCUCUUCUUACUUGCCCACUGUGAUAACCUGACUACUUAUUCUUCUUUCCUUGGAACCCACGAUUCAGUGAUUCUACCACUUUCUUGCUAUUCCUCUCAUGUCCUCAUGUCCUCCCCUGCAUCCUUCUCA
rnacentral:lncRNA from 1 species